GCAGCCGCGGUAAUUCCAGCUCCAAUAGCGUAUAUUAAAGUUGUUGCAGUUAAAAAGCUCGUAGUUGAACCUCGGGGUCUACCCAUUGGUCAGGCUUAAUUGUCUGCACUGGUGAGAUGGAUCUCUACCUUCUGAGGAACUUUCAUGCCAUUUAUUUGGUGUGAUGGGAAAUCAGGACUGUUACUUUGAAAAAAUUAGAGUGUUUAAAGCAGACUAUCGUCUGAAUACAUUAGCAUGGAAUAAUGAAAUAGGACGGACUGAUUCUAUUUCGUUGGUUUCUAGGAUCGACGUAAUGAUUAAUAGGGAUAGUUGGGGGCAUUAGUAUUCAAUUGUCAGAGGUGAAAUUCUUGGAUUUAUUGAAGACUAACUACUGCGAAAGCAUUUGCCAAGGAUGUUUUCAUUAAUCAAGAACGAAAGUUAGGGGAUCGAAGACGAUCAGAUACCGUCGUAGUCUUAACCAUAAACUAUGCCGACUAGGGAUCGGAUGAUGUUAUUUUUAAUGACUCA
rnacentral:rRNA from 1 species